UCUCUCUCUUGUCUCUCUCUUUCUUGAUGAAAGUUGAUUGGGUGAAGAAUUACACGAGAGGACUUGUUCAUCUUCUUCAAUCUUCACCGUUAACGCAAUGCAUCUUCAACAAAUGUCUCUCUACAAGAUGACUUAUCAGGUUUCGAUUCAGCAAAUAGACAAAAUCGAAGCUUUAAGAUCUGGGUUUUGAAGAAGAUGUGUGGUGGGUUUCGAAUGCUUUCGAAUUUCGUUUCAGGGUUUUCUACGUUUCACUCAGGUCCUCUGGAAUCAAUAACUCAAAGCAUUUGAGCAUAAGGAAGAAGUCAGUAUAGUUAUUGGGUUUCAGAAAUUGAUUCAGAUUAAGAUUAGGUUUCAGAAUCAAAUUUUUUAUGUUGAUGGUCAAGGAGAAGGGAGAUAAGGAUUGAUUUGGGUAGAGACUAAAAUGGGUAGUUUAUGAAUGGUUUCUAGGUUCAAAAUCAAAGCAGAAGAUGAGAAAUUUGGAAAAAAGAUCUCGUUUUGUUGACCAAAUCAGUGAAAACGCCUUCGGCAGAUGGGAUUCUACAAAUGUUUCCCAAGCAAACGAAUAGAACAGAUAAGGUUUUUCUGUACUUUUGUCUGUCUGAGUUGUGGAAGCCAUCGAUGACGAUGGUGAUGAUGUGAUUAAUGUUAUGAGUUUUUUUGUUAGAUUUGUGAUAUUUGAUAAAAAAAUAUUUGAACUUUGAAAAUGUGGUGAUGGAUUUAGAGGAAGAAGGAUUUGAAGAAAGGGGGAUUUGGGGCAAUGGCAAAAUGGAAACUUGAGAAUGGUUGGGAGGCUACUGGUGCAUAGUGACCUCAUUGAUGGUGUUGGCGUAUGAGAGGUUGUCGCCGGUGGUGGCGGAGGCUGAGAUGACUUCCGAUGUCAAUGGAGAUGUGGGUUUUCUUGAGGAAGAAGAAGACCAGGUGAAUGGAUGUGUGUGCGCGCCAGGGGGAGAGAGCCCUCGAUUAUUUUUUUAAUUAUUAUAGAUAAAAAUGAAAGAAAAAUUAAAAAUAAAUACACAAUGGUAUUUCAGUAA